rnacentral:rRNA from 1 species
GUGGGGAAUAUUGGACAAUGGGCGCAAGCCUGAUCCAGCCAUGCCGCGUGAGUGAUGAAGGCCCUAGGGUUGUAAAGCUCUUUCAGCGGGGAAGAUAAUGACGGUACCCGCAGAAGAAGCCCCGGCUAACUUCGUGCCAGCAGCCGCGGUAAUACGAAGGGGGCUAGCGUUGUUCGGAAUCACUGGGCGUAAAGCGCGCGUAGGCGGAUUGUUAAGUCGGGGGUGAAAUCCCGAGGCUCAACCUCGGAACUGCCUUCGAUACUGGCGAUCUUGAGUCCGGGAGAGGUGAGUGGAACUCCUAGUGUAGAGGUGAAAUUCGUAGAUAUUAGGAAGAACACCAGUGGCGAAGGCGGCUCACUGGCCCGGUACUGACGCUGAUGUGCGAAAGCGUGGGGAGCAAACAGGAUUAGAUACCCCGGUAGUCC